rnacentral:rRNA from 1 species
UACGGAGGGUGCAAGCGUUGUCCGGAUUAUUGGGUUUAAAGGGUGCGUAGGCGGCCCGUUAAGUCAGUGGUGAAAGCCUCCAGCUCAACUGGAGAACUGCCAUUGAUACUGACGGGCUUGAGUACAGACGAGGUUGGCGGAAUUGAUUGUGUAGCGGUGAAAUGCAUAGAUACAAUCAAGAACUCCGAUUGCGUAGGCAGCUAACUAGGCUGUAACUGACGCUGAGGCACGAAAGCGUGGGGAGCGAACAGG